rnacentral:rRNA from 1 species
UACGAGAGGCCCAAACGUUAUUCGGAUUUACUGGGCUUAAAGAGUUCGUAGGCGGUCCGUCAAGUGAGGUGUGAAAGCCCUCGGCUCAACCGAGGAAUUGCGCUUCAAACUGUCGGUCUCGAGGGAGAUAGAGGUGAGCGGAACUGAUGGCGGAGCGGUGAAAUGCGUUGAUAUCAUCAGGAACACCAGAGGCGAAGGCGGCUCACUGGGUCUCUUCUGACGCUGAGGAACGAAAGUGUGGGGAUCAAACAGG